rnacentral:rRNA from 1 species
UACAGAGGUCUCAAGUGUUGUUCGGAUUCAUUGGGCGUAAAGGGUGUGUAGGUGGCGCCGUAAGUCGGGUGUGAAAUUUCGGAGCUUAACUCCGAAACUGCAUUCGAUACUGCGGUGCUUGAGGACUGGAGAGGAGACUGGAAUUCAUGGUGUAGCGGUGAAAUGCGCAGAUAUCAGGAGGAACACCGGUGGCGAAGGCGGCUUGCUGGGCCUUACCUGACGCUGAGGAGCGAAAGCGUGGGGAGCGAACAGG